rnacentral:lncRNA from 1 species
AUAUCAAUAUCUCGCUGAGUGCUUUUAAUUAAUUCGUAAAUUUUUUUGUGGAUAGCUUCUCUCAUUAAAACUGGAUUAGCCGGGUUCUCCCCCAAAUGCAAAAAAUGGAAAAGAUAACUGAUGGACUCGGAACCUCCAUCGCCUGAGAUCUCCUCUGUCAAUGGGGAUGGUUGGUUCACGGAAUCAAAGGAUUCCAACGGCGAUGG